rnacentral:rRNA from 1 species
AUUGAACGCUGGCGGCAUGCUUUACACAUGCAAGUCGAACGGUAGAGGGGCAACCCUUGAGAGUGGCGAACGGGUGAGUAAUGCAUCGGAACGUGCCCAGUAGUGGGGGAUAGCCCGGCGAAAGCCGGAUUAAUACCGCAUACGGCCUGAGGGUGAAAGCGGGGGAUCGCAAGACCUCGCGCUAUUGGAGCGGCCGAUGUCAGAUUAGGUAGUUGGUGGGGUAAAGGCCUACCAAGCCGACGAUCUGUAGCUGGUCUGAGAGGACGACCAGCCACACUGGGACUGAGACACGGCCCAGACUCCUACGGGAGGCAGCAGUGGGGAAUUUUGGACAAUGGGCGCAAGCCUGAUUCAGCCAUGCCGCGUGCGGGAAGAAGGCCUUCGGGUUGUAAACCGCUUUUGUCAGGGAAGAAAUCUUCUGGGCUAAUACCCCGGGAGGAUGACGGUACCUGAAGAAUAAGCACCGGCUAACUACGUGCCAGCAGCCGCCGUAACAC